rnacentral:tRNA from 1 species
GCAGUGCGUGGCCGAAUGGUUACGCUGUCCGCUUUGUAAGCGGAUGAUCCUGGGUUCGAUUCCCAUCUGCUGCA